rnacentral:rRNA from 2 species
AGCUCUCUUGCGGGGUUACCGUAUAACGGUUGAUUAACACGUGAGUAACCUGCCCUUGACUCUGGGAUAACCCUGGGAAACUGGGUCUAAUACCGGAUAUGACUCCUCAUCGCAUGGUGGGGGGUGGAAAGCUUUUGUGGUUUUGGAUGGACUCGCGGCCUAUCAGCUUGUUGGUGGGGUAAUGGCCUACCAAGGCGACGACGGGUAGCCGGCCUGAGAGGGUGACCGGCCACACUGGGACUGAGACACGGCCCAGACUCCUACGGGAGGCAGCAGUGGGGAAUAUUGCACAAUGGGCGCAAGCCUGAUGCAGCGACGCCGCGUGAGGGAUGACGGCCUUCGGGUUGUAAACCUCUUUCAGUAGGGAAGAAGCCUUUCGGGGUGACGGUACUUGCAGAAGAAGCGCCGGCUAACUACGUGCCAGCAGCCGCGGUAAUACGUAGGGCGCAAGCGUUAUCCGGAAUUAUUGGGCGUAAAAGAGCUCGUAGGCGGUUUGUCGCGUCUGCUGUGAAAGACCGGGGCUCAAC